CAGGUUCAAGUGCAAGCUGCUCAGGAUUCAUGGGCUUCAUGGGCUUCCCUGGCAAAGGAGUCUUCCCUCCCCCAAGACACUGCUAUGGCAGGUUUCUCCAACACCAGCAGGGGCCCUCAGGCAUUGGGUAGAACAAUUUCCCUUUUCCUGGAUUGACUAAUUCUGACUAAAGGGAAAUUAGGGUCAGUUUCUAUCUUGUGGGAGAGGGAGGAAAUGAUCAGGACCCAGGGUACUCCUAAAAUAUCUCCUGGUAUGGUUCCUGUCAAAGGCACAGAAAAAUUUCAUGGAAAACCACAACCAGAUAAGACCCUCCAUGGACACUGGUUUUGCUACUCAAUGACCAGGUGAGGCAACACUGAAGGCCAAGGGAAACCCAGAAUGUCUGGCAAGGAAUGAAGUCCUAAGGGUCAGCUUGGCCAGCUGCAGAAAAAGGGGCCACAAAUUCUGUUUCUGUACAUGCAUUGGGAAAUUUUUUUUUGUCACAUUUUUUAUUUUGCCUUCAGGCUGCCUACCAGACCACAUCUAUUUUGUUAAUAAUCAUGAAAAUGGUGACACUGUUUUUUAAAAAAAUCAAGCAAAUGCAUUAUUCUAGGUGAAAAAUCAAGAGCCUCCUUCCUCACCCCUUGGCACUGAUCCUCCAUUUCUUCUCAGAGGCAUCCUCUACCAUCAGUAUGUCACCUUCCAGACCUUUCUUAUGCAUUCUCCAAGUAUACUUUGGUUUUGUAAGUCUUCAUUGUGCCUUAAGACUGUACCUGUUUUCUACACUAAGCUUAACAUUAGGUCUUGGAAAUCUUUCUGUAUCAGUACUUGAUACAGCUUGUAACUGCUGCAUAGCAUUAAUUUCAUAAGGACCAAAGUAGCCACAUUGGGGACAAGGACACGAGCCACAUUCCUAUUGAUAGGUACAACGCACACUACUCUCUAAAAAGGUUGCUGUUGUUUAUAUGCACAACAACCACUGGUCUUUUCAUUUCUUCUCUUCCUAGCCCAAACUGGGUAUGAUCAGGAGGAACUAUUGGUUUCUGAAGGACACAGUGUUUCACCUGGUGUAUUAAUUUACACAUCACUAAUUUCCAGUGAGGUUGAAUGCUAACAAGAUCCAGGCUUUUUGGAGUUAUGGGGAAAGGACUCUUAACUAUUAGUAGGCACAUCAAUUAGUGCUAUCACUUGGGAUAGCAACUAGGCAUUAUCUAGUCAGCGUAAAGAUGUUCAAAAACUCUGGGACCCAGACCUUUCACUACCAUGUAUUUACCCCUAGAAAAAUUCACACAUGUGCACCAAGGAACAUCUUUCUAGCAUUUUCAUUUCCAUGAAAAAAAUGCUAAGAGCCUAAAAUACCCACCCAUAAAGGACUGCAUAAAUAAAUUGUGGUAAUUCAUACAACUGAAUUAUUUUGUAUAUAGCAUUUAAAAUAUAUAAACUAGAUGUACAUGUAUCAAAAGGCCAAAUCUAAAGACAAUGUUGAGUGGAAAAAUCAAUUUGCAAAAUGACAGCAUACAUUCUAUCAAU
rnacentral:lncRNA from 1 species